GACGAACGCUGGCGGCGUGCCUAAUACAUGCAAGUCGAGCGAAGUUUUUCUGGUUCUUGCACUAGAAAAACUUAGCGGCGCACGGGUGAGUCACACGUAAAGAACCUGCCUCAUAGACUGGGACAACUAUUGGAAACGAUAGCUAAUACCGGAUAACAGUAUUUCUCGCAUGAGAGAUAUUUAAAAGUUGGUUAUGCUAACACUAUGAGAUGGCUUUGCGGUGCAUUAGCUAGUUGGUGGGGUAAAGGCCCACCAAGGCGACGAUGCAUAGCCGACCUGAGAGGGUGAUAGGCCACACUGGGACUGAGACACGGCCCAGACUCCUACGGGAGGCAGCAGUAGGGAAUCUUACGCAAUGGGCGAAAGCCUGACGGAGCAACGCCGCGUGAGUGAAGAAGGAUUUCGGUUCGUAAAGCUCUGUUGUUAGGGAAGAAUGGAUAUGUAGUAACUAUACAUGUAAGAGACGGUACCUAACAAGAAAGCCACGGCUAACUACGUG
rnacentral:rRNA from 1 species